GUGAACCCGGGAGUUCCCCCAAACACUUCAGGAGGCUACAUGACUGCAUUGCUAUUGCAGCUACGAAGAGCCACCAUGAAGUGAUCGGAGGAACUCUAGGGAACAC
rnacentral:pre_miRNA from 1 species